UUUUUUUUAAUAAAUGUUUUUAUUGAAAUUUUAUAACAAACAAAGAAAAGAAAAUACAAAGGAAUUCGGAAAUAUAAAAGAGAUUGGAGGACAGAGUCCAGUGGCAGCAUAAUAGGAAUACACACACACAACAUUUGAAAGAUAGAUUACCCUAUAACGGGCAAUUGUGAGGAAAGGUAAACAUGUUAUGAUACAACGUUAUAUCUCACACACUUGACUUAAUGCAAACAACUAGUGGAGCAGAUCCUCAUCAUCUGGUUAGUUCGGUGACUCCCGGGGGGUGUUCGUGAACGUUGGUCCUGUGAUCGUAAGGCAGUUUGGAUAUAUUGGUCGGUUUCACGAACAAUAGCAUUAUUAAGUAAUAGUUCCGUGUCAUACCAUGUAGUAUAUCUAAAUGUAUAUAUAGUCAAGUGUUUGGUUUGAGUAGGGAGUGAUUGAAUGUAACUCAUCCAUACCGAAAAGAAUUUGUCAGUGUAUCGUUCUUUGUCCGUAGUGGAUUCUAGCCAGUCCAUGUGGAAGAUGUAAUGAAGUUUUUGUUUAACCAGAGAUAGUGGGGGUGUCGACGGGGAAAGCCAAUGGUGUAGAAUAGUUUUCCGAGUUGCAGCCAUUAGCCUUUCCGCCAGCUGCCUUUCAGAUCGUGAAAGUUUCAAUUGUGGGGGGGGUACCCCAAAAAUCGCCCAGGUUGGAGUAAAAUUAUUUGUUAGCUGAGUAAGAGAUUUCCAGUAUAUCUGAACAUCCCCCCAUAAUUGUUGAAUAUUGGGACAUAGCCAAAGACAAUGCAUAAGAUCAGCUUGGGGUUGAUGACAUCUCAAACAGUUAUCCGAGUUUAAAGUACCUAUAUGAUGCCGUCGAAGUGGAGUAAGGUAAGAGCCAUGCAAUAUCUGCAGGGCCAUUUCUUGAUAUUUACUAACCGAGAUAGCUUGCAUUGCUUUUGUGUGAUAUUGAAGUAUUUGAGAGGCCUCAGUAUGUGGGAGUACAGAAGUCCAUCUGAGUAAGAACGUGUCUGGUGUUUCAGUAGAUAAUGGGGUCCUAAGGAAGCGAUAAAUUUGAGAGACAUUUCUAACUGUAUGAGAUCUAGGCCACAAUAGGUUUAAUGGGUUAUCUUUAUCUGUCAUGGAAAGAUGUCGCAUCACCGUCGUGGCAUAGUGAACAAUUUGAAUCAUCAGCAUAGGAUCAUCGGCCAGAAACGGGUAUUUCUGAAGAAACUUGUCUUUAGGCAACACUGUGAAGGUGUCAUCGACUAUAUCCUUGACAAUUUUCAAAUUUUGGGCAUGCCAUUCCAUUAGGGUUUUGUUAUGGUUCCCCAUCGGAAAUGCCGGAUUAUCAAGCCAGGACAGAUAAAUGGAAUAACCGGGUGUCAAUUUGAAUCUACGUCGAACCGAGUUCCAUGCCUUAUAAGUAUCUAUAAACAAGGGGUGUUCUCGCAUGUCUUGUGGAAUAUCCUUUAAUGGAGAAUGUAGGAGGGAAUUAAGAGAUAAGCCUCCUGUUAAAAGUUGAUCUAGUUCCGUUGAGGCAUAUAGAUUUCUAUGAUAUAUCCAGUCCCCAACAUAGCGCAAUAGUGCCGCCUCAUUGUAUUCCCGAAUAUUUGGAAAGUUAACCCCACCCAAGCUUUUGGUCUGCUGUAAUUUGAAGAGGCUUAUUCUCGGACGUUUCCGUCUCCAAAUAAAGGAACGAAACAUUUUAAGUAAUCUGUUAUAGUCGGGAGGUUUUAUACUGUACGGUAACAUUUGUAAGUGAUAAAGCAAUUUAGGAAACAGGAUCAUUUUGAUUAGAUGAAUUCUCCCCAAAAAGGUCAGAUUUAGUGAGUCCCAUUUGUGUAGAUCUUGUUGAAUGUUGUCAAUAGUAUAUCUAAUAUUGAGUGAGUAAAUGUCGGCAUGGUUUUUCGCCAAUAUAAUACCCAGGUACGUUAUGUAAGAACGUGCCCUCUUAAAGGGGAACUUAGCGUUCCUAGUAGUUGUAACCCCGAGGCCUCCAAGUUCCAAAGCUUCAGAUUUAUUGAGAUUUAUCCGGAAGCCUGCAAAAGUGCUGAAAGUUUGUAUAGUAUCCAAAAUCGUAUCUAGUUCUACAUGAGGCUGAUGGAUAAACAACAAGAUAUCAUCCGCAAAGGCUGUUAUUUUAUGUCUGAUGUGUCCAAGUGGUAUGCCUGCGAAUGUAUCAUUUAAAAGUAGAUGUUUGAUUAAGGGGUCUAAUGCGAUGUUGAAUAAUAAAGGCGAUAAAGGACAACCCUGUCUAGUCCCUUGUUGAAUUUCAAAUGACUCCGAGUUGAAUCCGUUAACUGUUAUGAAAGUUUGAGGGGCAUCAUACAGUGUUUUAAAUAAAUUGAGCAUAUGAAUUCCAAAGUGUUGGAAUUUUAAAAGCCUACGAAUAUGUGCGUGAGAGAUCCGAUCAAAGGCCUUGUCAGCAUCUAAAUUAAGCAACAUACCCUGUCUCCUUUUUUCUAGAUUACAGUGGUAGAUAGUGGCGAUAGCCUGUCUGAUAGCCCGAACCGGAUGUCUAUCCCUAAGGAAGCCCAUCUGAUUGGAGUUACAGGUGCAUCGAGGAGUUCCCUAUCCUGGACAGUCAGUUUAUUCAGACGGGCUUCCUGAAGGAAUUUGAGACCGAGUUCAGGGGAAUCAGGGGUUCUUUGGUAAAGUGAUUUAAAAUGUUUCGCCAUGACGGUGGUAAUGUCAGAAGUAUCCCGUGCCCACCCAGUGGGAGUUUUAAGUUUCUGAAUAAACGUCGACCCGUGUUGUCUCCUAACUAUAUUCGCCAACAAUUUCCCGGAUCGGUUUCCCCAACGAUAAAAUCUGUUGGCCGUAUGGCUCAAUCUAUGUUGCAUUCGCUCUGUCAAUAAAGUGUCAAAAAGA